CAGUGUGGAAGGGACUGUCACUCUCGAAUUGGCCUUCUCAGCCACACUAGGCGCUGUUCCAAGCCCUCCAUGCAGAGCACGCUACCAUAGUCUUUCGAGACUGAAGGAUGCCUAACUAACUCCUCUCCCUUCCAAGCCUCCCAAAAUAUAUAUAUAUAUAUAUGUAUAUAUUGAUUUUUACAGAGCAGACUGCAGGGGUAAUUCUGCACAAUAAAGUUAUAACUACUUGACAGUCCUGUAACUGUUAUAGCACCACCCUAUGGUUUCUUAAAAUUUAUAGCUUGAUGAAUGAUAUCGGCCCUGUUUAGGAAUUACUUGUUCAUUUCUCAACAAAAUACUUCGAGAGGAGUAGCUUAGCUCUUCUCCCGUUGGCCUUUUCACCACAUAGAAAGCAAAACAUGUCCGAAAGGAGACGUUCUGUCUCACGCAUAGGCUCUCCAGCCACGACAAUCUCCAGUUUAUCAGGACUCUUCAGAUUAGCAGGAUUCUUGCUUGUAUAGAUGAAACAACUGACCAUAAUCAGCUUGGAGUUCUGCGCUAGAAUUCUUUGGAAUUCUGUGCUAGAAGUCUUUGGAAUUCUGCGCUAGAAAUUCUUCGGAAUUCUGUGCUAGAGCGCUGCACUGCACGGUACUGAACUUCAGCAACAGAGUGCUCUCUGGGAGAAAAAUCUCAAAUAUCUCACCCUACUACAAAUCACAGAAUUCUGUAUACUGGAGCCAUGUCAGGUAAAAUGACAUUAAACUACCCUAACUCUGUAGCGGAAGAUAGUGGCAUGUUAACCCAUCUGCCUUUCAGCCAGCCUGACUGGGCAGUUGUCCAUAUACAGCAAUUGCUCCUUCCAAAGCCUCUUGGAUUCUAGUUGGAUUCUAAGGGGAAGAUCCAAAAGCAAGCUGCGAGAGGCUCUUAAAAAUCAAUCAAACAGGGAAAGCUUGGAAAUCUAGCUACUGGUGUGAAAAAGGUGGUGUGCAAAUCAUACUGGGUGUCUCUCAAUGCUCAGAGAACCAUAUUUUGAUAGCUGGCUUGCUCCCAUAGCUACUAAAUCUUAAUCCAAUGUUUGCCCACCCCAAGCUCUGUAAUAUUGCUGAUUUUAUUGAUGAAUGCCCCAGGCUUGUAUUUUUGCCCUAGCUUCUUUCUAUUAUGCAUUCUACCUUUGUCGGGUGACUAUGUCCUCUUAGUCACACGAAUUACCCUCCAAAAAAUACAGACCCAAGAGGAAACCUGAGAUGCAUCUCUCCAAAGAGAUUUCUAUGUUCAAGCUGAAAUAAAAUGGGAGGUAAUAACA
rnacentral:lncRNA from 1 species